AUUGAACGCUGGCGGCAGGCCUAACACAUGCAAGUCGAGCGGAUGACGGGAGCUUGCUCCUUGAUUCAGCGGCGGACGGGUGAGUAAUGCCUAGGAAUCUGCCUGGUAGUGGGGGACAACGUUUCGAAAGGAACGCUAAUACCGCAUACGUCCUACGGGAGAAAGCAGGGGACCUUCGGGCCUUGCGCUAUCAGAUGAGCCUAGGUCGGAUUAGCUAGUAGGUGGGGUAAUGGCUCACCUAGGCGACGAUCCGUAACUGGUCUGAGAGGAUGAUCAGUCACACUGGAACUGAGACACGGUCCAGACUCCUACGGGAGGCAGCAGUGGGGAAUAUUGGACAAUGGGCGAAAGCCUGAUCCAGCCAUGCCGCGUGUGUGAAGAAGGUCUUCGGAUUGUAAAGCACUUUAAGUUGGGAGGAAGGGCAGUAAGUUAAUACCUUGCUGUUUUGACGUUACCGACAGAAUAAGCACCGGCUAACUCUGUGCCAGCCGCCGCAGUAAAAC
rnacentral:rRNA from 1 species